UAUUUUUAAAUGGCAACCUAGUUAGGACCUCUUUAUACUGAAAGCAACACUUCUGACUUUUGUUUUGGAAAAACUUAACUCCAUAGGAACCCGAAAUUCAAAGCUGCGGAAAUAUUAGCCAAAUCGGGAGAAAACACACCCUUAGGAAAUGCGGAUUCGACCUUGACUUUUUUUUUUUUUUAAAUCAAUCUUCCUCUGUAUCGGAAUUUCCCUUUGUGGUGUGCUGGAGGCAGCGUCACCGAUCUCUUCAGGGGGAACCUUGCUCUGGUGGGCUAAUCCCCGGCCCACUCAGCUGCACCUGGGAGUCGAGGGUUCACGACAGCCCCGUGACGCAGACUCCCCCGUGCGACCCACACCCCCCGCGCCCCCCACCCCAUUCCCUCAGGCCGGAGACCACGAGGGGAGGAGCGAGUUUCCAAAAGCAACACCUCCGGCCAGUUUCUACUGCCUGUCUCCAGCAGGAAAAUGGCAAAUAGUGAAGUUUAGAAUUACACUAUAUAAAUUUACUAGAAUUAGGCAGAGACAAGCUGACAUUUGAAAAUUGAUGCUGAAAAUAGUUGAUUUUGGCAUUGUGGUUUCAUUUUUUUUCUUUUGAGACAAGAUGAAAAGUUUGAUGAUGUGGAACUUGGAAAUUUUUGUGAACUCUGUUAAAGAUCUUCCUCCUCUACUUUCUGGCCCAUCAAGAGAAGGAUCCUGUAGGAGGGACAUACAUGGCUCUGUCUGCUGAAACAAGGCCAGCAUGCAAGUGAGUGGAAAUAAUGAGGUACCUACCAUGUGCCACUGUUUUGAAAUCAGAUGCUCGUGUUAUAGCAGGCGCCAUUUUGGAAAAUGGAAACUGCAUUGUCACCAGAUGUGAAGGUGCUGAACACACAGAUGGGGUGGACUGGCUGGACAUACCGGACUCCCCUGACCUGGCUCAGUGAUCUCCACUUCAGGACUCCACUGCAUCUAUGCUUAGGAACUGUGAUAAACACUGCCCUUGGAUGUUUUCACUGGCUACUCCCACAUUUCCAUUGCAAUACCAGACUCUGGGCUCUAAAUCAGUUCCUUCUUUCAUCUCCCCUCUCAUCUCUUUACUCACCUGGUAACAGCAUCCUGCUUGUAAGGGAUCUUGGUUGGGCAGCUCCAGAAGGAGCCCUGUCUCCCCUUAAACUUUUUCAAAAGCACUCCGCCCAACACAACCAGCACAUUCUAAUUCAGGGAUCCAAAAAAACCACUGGGCCCUGUCUUAGGCCCAUGCCCUGACCCUGUCCCCCACCUCCUACCUCUGUUCCCAAACCACUUAGCAUAGACCAUCUCCUCCGUCUCUUUCCUGCNNNNNNNNNNNNNNNNNNNNNNNNNNNNNNNNNNNNNNNNNNNNNNNNNNNNNNNNNNNNNNNNNNNNNNNNNNNNNNNNNNNNNNNNNNNNNNUGAUUUCAAUCCAGUUACCUUAUUCUGUUCUGAUUCAUUUGUUCAUGGCUUCUUUCACCCCUGAGAUAUUUGUUAAUCUCCCACAAGGUACACAAUACGCUGCUAAGUUCCCUGAGAGUGGAGGGGGGAAAGUUAGCUCAUCUUUCCACAAGGAAUUUGUAGUCUAGACGUGACCCAGGCAUUUGGUCAUAGAAAAGUUGAUACUGCAUAUGAUUAAGUGACAAAUGUUUGGUACAAGUUGAUACAGGCAGUAGGUGCUGGGGAUGUCAAAGAGAGAAUUUCCUUUGAAGGGAGGGUGGGAUGGGUGUGUAAAGGAGCUGGCUUUGAAGCAAGGGUAAGAUAUGAGAGGCAGAGGAGGGUGAGUAGAUUCCACAAGGGAGGAGGAAGAUAUGGUCUAGGGACAGCCCAGAGGGAAUGGACCAGAUGUGGGCAGACGCCCCUCCUGCAAGAACCGACCAGUCAUUUGUUUUAGGAGUGCUUGAACAUCACCAGUAGCCCUUUUCCUUUUUUUUGCAGCAAGAUUUCUUUUUCUUUCUGUGGUGCUGGAGAUAGAACUCAGGGCUUCACAUUGGUUUUGCAAGUGCUGCACCACUGAGCCCCUCCCUCCCCAACACACAAGGCAAAACUCUCAAUGGGAGCCCAGAAACAGAGCCCUUCUGCCUUCUCAUACAUGUCAUGAGGUUCAGUGCAUAUCUCUGCUGCUUUUCUGCGGCUCUGAUGAGUUGUUUCAUUCUAUCACUUUAAUGGUGUGCCUGCACAAGUGUGCAUGUAUGUGUCUGCUUUGAAAAGCCUCUGCCUACUCCCUCACACACCUGGAAGCCUUUCAUUUACGUGUAUGUGAUGUCUUCAGACUUGAGCCUAAGUAGAUGGCAUGCUCUUUACUCUCCCUCCAUGCCAAAUUAAUAUCCAGAGUACAGUGUUGGUACUGAGUUGAUCUUUGGAGGAUUCCAUUGGUUUGAUUGAGAACAUGAUCUGUUAAUUUCUGCCUAACUUCUCUCUCUCAGUUUCUCUCUUUAGCUAUCAUUUAUCUAUCUGCUUCUUUCUGUCUCUGCCAUCACUAUUAUUUAUGUAUCAUCUCUCUCUCUAUAUAUAAUAUAUAUAAAUAUACCUGAAUUUUUAGGAAAAAUUGGAUAACUAGUACCUUUUAUUUGUUGACCAAGUAAUUUUAAAAUCAUUAAAUCCAACAGAGUUUCAGAACAAUUGCUAUUUAAAGUGUCCUGGGUUAUUUCCACACUCAAAAGAAAAAAGAAAAAAAGUUUUUUUUUUAAUUGGAAAAGUUUGAGUAUGGAGAAAAUAACUCUGUUUCCCUUUCUAUCUGGUCAAACAGCCAACACCUCUUUGGCCUUUUCCAGUUCUUCCAUAAAUCUUGGCUAAUAAGCCCUGGGUUCAAAUGAACAAGAAAUCUCAGUAGCUGAGGAAAAUCCACACAAACUGGAAUUUUGCUUACCUUGGGAAAAACCACUUAUAUGAAAGGAAGGACUAAAAGGAUGUUCUUAUUCUGAUUUUCCAGGUGUAAUAUGUGUUCUAUUUAAGCCACUAAUUUGUUAUUUGUAACAAAUAUGUUAUUAUGUUACGCUUUAUACGUUAUCUGUAACAUUGAGUUUGGUUCAUUCAAGUUUUUUUUGGUGUCCUAAGUUUUUCUCUGCAUAAUACACGUUUCCUUGCAAUCAACCCCAUUCCCAGCGAAAGCCAGCCUCCAUCUCCGUCCGUUUUUUUCAAACAUUUUGUGGUUGUUGUCCCUUUCCCUCCUCCCUGGGCCUAAUUAUGAAACAACUUCAAAUAAAUACAAAAAUUUUUAAACAAAA
rnacentral:lncRNA from 1 species